rnacentral:rRNA from 2 species
GAUUUCUGGUGUGGUGUACCGAGCCCGCCGCCGUUAGGCGGUGAGUGCUUGCUGUGCGCCUACCAUCCUUCCGGAGAGCGUGCUCUACCCUUAACUGGGCCGGAGUGCGCGAUCUGGAUCGUUUACUUUGAAAAAAUUAGAGUGUUUAAAGCAGGCGUUUGCUAUGAAUACAUUAGCAUGGAAUAAUAAGAUAGGACUUUGGUUCUAUUUUGUUGGUUUCUAGGACUGAAGUAAUGAUUGAUAGGGACAGUUGGGGGUGCUAGUAUUUAACGGCCAGAGGUGAAAUUCUUGGAUUCGUUAAAGACUAACUUAUGCGAAAGCAUU